CCCGCGGUAGCUCAGCCUGGUAGAGCGCCCGGCUGUAGCGGCCAGCCCCGCGGCUGAGCCGAUGUUCAGCCCGCCAGGCUACAUGGAAACCGGGUGGUCGCAGGUUCAAAUCCUGCCCGCGGGA
rnacentral:tRNA from 1 species